CCAAGUCUUUAUUGGCAAAAUCGAACAUUUAAGAUUUUGAUUAAAAAAAAAAAAAACGCACCCGUGUCGAGUACCCUUCUUGAUGCUGCCUGGUGGUUGGCCUACAUUUUAAGGAUACUGCUUCAGACCAUCUUUUGUCUCCUCAGGUCCCCACGGUUCUCUCCACUCCCUCAUACUUAAGUGAUGACCCUGUAUCCUGUAUCUCUGAGGAAACAGACACAAGAAAACAUGCUCCUUCUGGCUCGAACUGGGCUUCCUUAUCAGCCCCAUACCAUGCACUUCAUAAUUACCCUUCUGAGCCCAGCUCUCCUACUUAAGCUCUGGAAACAAUCCUGCUAUUCCGGACCGUGGCUCUGGCCAUUUUCCUCUCAUUUUUCCUCUAACCCUAUCCUUUCUGCAGGAUUGUCCAUCAGCAGUGGCCAGGAAUUGGAAAUGACCGAGACGUCCAUCAACUGAUAGGUAGAUAAUGAAGAUGUGGUGCAUCAACACAGUGGAAUAUUAUUUGGGCGUAAAGAAAAAUGAAAUUGUACUGUCCAUAGAUUACUACAACUUCAUCAGAGAAGCUUCUUUUUGGAGGAGAUGGCAAUGGAUGCAGAGAUCCACAACUAGUCAAUAUGCAGAGAGGGUUAGCAACUUGUACUCAUGAAAAUCCUGAAGGAGUUCGAGUUCAGCGAAGGAAACAGGAAGUUCAGUUCGGUUUGUGGAAAGCCCAGGAAACAGCAACACGUCUGUGAACAAUGAGCCGUCUGCUGAAGAUUCUUGAUAAUGGGAAUGGGGUGUGCCGGGAGCCAACCAAAUUUCUAGAUGUAUAGUAUCUUCCCCCUUCAGAUUCUAUAGGCUUUCAUGCUAUGUAAAAUAAACCCAGACUCGAGUUCAUGGAAACUUCUAGAAGUUGUGUCUCUGGAUUCUUUUAGAAUGUAGGGCAACUUCUCUGCUGAGCUGCUCUUCUCAUCACCCAAGUCAUGAGGGCAAGGCCUGUGCUUUUACCCAAAGAAAAGUCCUCAAGCCAGCAAACACAAGGCUGCUGGAACAGGUCUGGGUAUUCUGGCAAAGCACUGGGCUCAUGGUGUCACACUUUGCUGGAUAUUCCUUUUCAAGUGCUUAUUAAGCAUCUGAUGAAACCGUCAGAGAGAAGCACAAAGUAAAGAUAAGCCUGUUCCUCUCCAAGCUCAUUCUCUGUCGAGCAGCAGGACCUUACCUGCCCCACAGCCUCUAGCACGUGUUAGCUAUCGCACAAACAUCAGUUACUUUGGUUAAGUGCUGUGACACGUGCCUGUCAGAAGCAUCUUCAGAGGAUUUACUUUGGUUCGUGGUUUAAGAAGGAAUAAUUCACCACUGCAGUGAAACGUAAGGAGUCCGACGUGGUGGGCAGAUGAGGCUAGGGCUCCUUAUGUCUGACAGAUUAGGAAGCAGGAUGCCGGCACUCACUCAGCUUCUCCUUUUAUUUUUAUCAUUCAGUCUGGGACCGGAACUCAGGAGGUGGCACCACCACAUUCUUGUCUCUGGCAAUAUUCUCACAGACAUGCCUAGAGGCGUGUUCCCCGGGGCAUUCCGAAUCCAGUUGACCGUGAAGAUGAAUCGUGACAGAACCCUACAGAGUUCUUGGCCUCUCUCCAUGGGCUGAAAUUAUGUGCCGAGCAUCUGUUCCUUUGAGAAAGGCCUCGUGGAUGACCCCUCACCAAGAGUCUAAUUUAUCUGGAGACUCCAGGUACAUAUUUGUCUCAAAAACUAUAAUACUGAUUAUCAAGGAACAUCUAAUGCUUUAUAGCUCCACAAUUAAGCCAACUCGGCCAUGGCUCAGAAAACAGACUUUGUUCUGUUAUUUAGCACAUGUGUGUCUGUGUCUGGGGUGGGGAGUGUUCUGGAUUUGUUAGCUGUGGCCAUUUUGACAACCAUAUGUCUGUUCAAGCAUCUGGCACACUUCUAUGUUUUUAAACCUGUGGAUUUAUCUGAUGAGAGUCAAAGUAUUUGAUUUACUUUCUUCAUAGAAUGGCACAGCCACACCCACUGGCAACAGCGAGUGUCAUGAACCAGCCUGACACGGUCCAACCAAGCUGAGGGGAUUGUUACAACUGCUGUCUUUCUGUCUCUGACUUUUGGUCUUGCAUUAUGAUUCGAUUUAUGUCUUUUCCUGAGAAAAAUUAUGUCUGAGUAUUUUUAGGAAAAUCCUAAAAUAAAUUCUAUCUGGCCACUCUUUGGAAGUCUUCCUUAUGCCCUGGAGAUCAUUAAGCACAGAUAAGCACAGAGCUAGAUGAGGCCAUUGCUCCAGGGAUCAUCUUGGGGUCUCUGCCCCUGAGCUAACUCAAACAAUAUAAUUGAUGCAGGGCAAAAAGAGACAACUGACAGUGUCUGAGUAGCCAGAAAAGAUAGGUUACAUAUUCAAGAUCUCUUUUUUAUUAUAGGCUUAGCGGUCUCUUAAAAUGCAGUUUAAAGAUAGGGGGUCGUACAGGGUACACUUUUGAAGGAAUCAAAUUCAGAAAAUAAGAUAGACCAACUAAAGUGAAGUUUUCCUACUUAAUAUUGUAGAUGAUGAAACCUAUAGUAGAAGAAGGUAGGUAGUAGUAUUUGCUAUUCAUAACCAGACGGGGGUUCAGAUUUUUCUGUUUGGAAUGCUUUCAAACGGCAAGCACUGCAGCCUAAAAGCAGGCUGUCACAUAAUAUUAUGUGCUUGCUUUGGAGGAGACAUUCUUUAGAUUUGAACCAGAGGGUCACAACAAGAAGACUCUGUUCUGUUUAUAUUUUCUAAUUGUGACUGAACUUGUAACCCUGGGCGUGUAAUGAAAAAUCAAACAUAUAUUCCUUACCGUUUGGCUAAUCGUUAGUCUGUUUUCUUCUGUGAAGCACCUGUUUGCUGGUCAGUCAGAGCAGCAGAAACUGCCUGGUGGUGAGUCAGAGCUACUUCAGGGGCCUGAUUGCUAGCAAGUCAGAGGUGCAAAAUUCCCCUAACCAUCUCCUGACUUCUCUCCCAAACUCCUUAUCUCCCCCGAAGGGCUGCCCUGUCAGCAAGAACCCUCUCUCUCCUCUCUGUGCUGGGGAAGGCCCCCACCCAGCAACAAAACAUUUGGGAAAACAUACAUGAUUACAUACACAUACAUGUGAUUUGUAAGGAUGUUUAACUGUCAUUUCUGAAUAAGAGCGUCAAGAUUUAUGAUCAAAACAGGCACUGAUAGGUUGAUACAUCUCCAUGCUGAAAACUGAAGAGGUUUCAGGACUUAAGAUUCUGACUCAAAAGACAAGUUACUUAUAGCCCUUGCCUAUAAACCCAACACUAAGAAUGAGGCAGGCGGACAGCUUGUGCAAGUCAGUUGAUUGCUAGUCUGUGUUACAUAGCAAGACCCCUACACACAAAAUAAACAAAACAUUAUGAUGUAAGGUAAAAAGUUUGAUCUGGACAAUUUAACUGAGUCUCAACUUACCUUUAAAGUGAGGGUAGUUAUUAUAACCUAAUCUACGGAUAUUGUAAGUAUUAAAUAAUAUUAUGUAACUCUUUAUCAGCUGUGUAUAUAAUAAAUGCUGCAAAUAGGUUAGCUUCCACAACUGGGAAUAACAAAUCACUAUUAAACAGGGGAUAACAUACAAGAUUAUAAUUAAGCAAAAAACUAUACAAAAUAGCAUGUCAUCAGGGUUCCAAUAAAUAUCACAUUAAGUCCAAAAUAUAGUGUGAUUUAGGGUCCUCCAAGAAAGAGAGUUUAGAUAACAUGCCAGUAUCACCAGACUGGCUCUGAGGCACCUGCUCCCAGGUAAUGACAUAUAGACUUAUUAUUUAUGAAAGUGUGGGCAUAGCUGGUUUGUUCCCAAUUCGCUCAUAUAACUUAAAUUAACCCAUUUAUACUAAUUUAUGUUCUGCCACAUGGCUCUGCUGCCUGGCCCAUUACCUGUCCUCAGUACUGGCAUGGUUAUGUUUCUUCCUUUCUGUGUGGCUGGCCAAUGCCUCGCACCUGAUUCCUUCCCAGAGUUCCUUUCUCUACGGGAAGUCAAGCCUAUCCUCUCCAGCCUAGCUGUGGGCCAUUCAGCUCUUUACUAAAGCAAUCAGAGGGAGCCUUAGUCAGGUGAGGGAGAAUAGAGGCACACUUUCACACAGUGUACAAAAAAUUAUCCCAACACAGCAGAUCUCAAUUUUGGAAGAGAUGAAAAUAUUUGUACCAGACUUGACCAAAGCAGUACAUUCUCAUCCUCCCUUUCUUUCUUGGGGGGAAUGUUAUAGCCCAGAAUCUGACAUUAUCUUUUCCCAUUUUUCCUUCUAUCAAGGUCCCAGGGUCUCAUACUUGGCUUACAGUGGUGAGAGAGUAACUUCAAGUACUGUUCCUUCCGUUACCACCUGUACACUUUUAGUGGUUGUUGCGGUUUUGGGAUGGAGCUUAGGGUCUUCUGCACGCUAGCAAAUGCUCUACCACCAAGCUGCAUCCCCAGUCACGUUCACACUGUAACAGAUUUUUGCUUAUUCAUUGUCUUAGUUAGGGUUUUACUGCUGUGAACAGACACCAUGACCAAGGCAAGUCUUAUAAA
rnacentral:sRNA from 1 species